UUCCAAAUAACCACGAGCUGCGCCCUCUUUCCGCAAAUCUCCUGAACCCAGGUUUUUCCUUAAACGUGUUUACUUCGCCCACCCCAGCCUCCGAAGUUCCACAAUGGAGUCUGGGCCAUGCUGGCCCAAGCGCUGCAGCCACUUUAAGGUAGGGAGGAGUUGGCGAGCUUUCCGGGUAGUGGGAGAAACCUCGUGGCGGGGUAGCGCCUCAGCAGCCUCCAGGCCUGGCCACCACGAUGGGCAGGUGCGCGCCUCACGCGGAAAGCGAGCCGGAGGAGGCUGAACGCUGCGCCGCACCACUCUCAGGGCUCUCUCGGGCCACCUCUGCGCCCACCUGGGGCCCAGUCCUUGAGUCUCAACUCCGUGAUCAGGGCAAGCCCCCUGGCCCCGCACGCUCCGUGGCGCACGCUCCGUGGGGACCUACCCAGAAGCAGCCUCCUCCGCCGGACUCUCCGGGCGACCUCGCAGGGCAAGGAAGAUAGGCCCGCGGCGAGUUGUGGGGUAACCAGUGCGCGGAGCGUAGAGUCCCGGAGCCUACCGCAGCCCAGCUGCGCGCAGGGGGCUGCGUCUCUGCGCCGCCGCCCCACUUCCCCUGCGCCCUCCUGGAGCUGCACUGCGCAUUUAGUCCGACGUUUCCGCCGACUGGUCAGCUGCUGUCCUCACGGCUCUGGGCUUUCGACACCAAGGACGCUUCCAGGGAAAUGGCUAACAGACUGACGAGGGGAGCGCAAACAGUUGCAGCCCUAACCCGAACUGCCCCCGGAGGACCGAAUGCUGGCUGGAGAGAGGAGCGCGGAGGAGUGGAAGGAGGAGGGGGCCCCUUCAUUCCUCCUUCUCCCUCCUCCUCCCCCGACCAGCCCACCCAGGUAGCUCUGCCUGUUAAGCAGCGAACAGGUGUCAGACACACACUUCCCUGGGGUUGACCCCGAGCCUCUCCCACUGUGACCUACGCACUGAGGACAUGCUAAAAACUUUUGCCCUGAAUGAGACAUGUUAUGGAUAUCCCAUCUUUUUCUCAGAGUCUCAGCUGCCAUUACUUCUAAGGACUCGCCUCCUUUCUCUCCCGCUUUCCCUGCCUCUACUGGGCGGGGACCUUUUGCAUUUGAACUUCCCGCACUGUUUGCCGCUUUUCGCUAGAGCCUCGCGGAAUUGGGAGCCCAGCUCUCUCCGGACGAGUGCUCUCCAGUUCCCGAGUUGUGAGGAAGAUCGCAAAAACUUAGAGGAGGGGUGCGGGCACUGGUCUCAGAAAUGAGGGUAUAGAAGCAGGAAACUAAGAAUUUUAUCUUUUAAAAAGUAUGUUCAAAACCGCGCUUUACUAAGCGCGGGGGUCGGAAAGCGCGGCCGCGGGCGGGAGCUCAGCGGCCCGCGGGAAGAGCCGCAGCGCCCCCUGGAGGCACGAGCCAAGCACUACGUGGCGCGGGCGCCGGGGGCGGUCACUCAGGCGGCUGGCUCCGGGUAUGAAUGUCUGGCUGCCAACGGCACUGCCGGCGGCUGGGUUCCUUUCACCUCGACCUGGGCCCCUUGGCUGCGGUGGCAGAAUCGUGUGCACGGCAGGGGCUUGUUGUCAGAGCCAGUAACCCGCUCUACCCCACCGCUGGGGCCUUUGUGAGCGUCCCUCGUCCUCUCCUGGGCAGUUUUUCUAAGACAGAUUUUCGGACUCAUGCCCAGGGCGGCUCCGACUUCCUCGGGGCAGGGGAAAGACACUAGUUCUGACCCUAGCUUAGGGGAUCGCGGCGGUAUGGUGCUGAUCAGAUUCUAGCAGAUUCCAAGGCCUCGGAUGUGGCCCCUUUGGGAGAGGCAAGAGAGCUUUCUCAGAGGACCUCAUUUGGAAAGGCUCUCGCACUCCCUACGACUUUCCACUUAUCUCACCCAGCAUUUGAAGCCCUGUGGGGAAUGGAUUCCCUGGGUGGGCUGUGCUCUCCUUAAACCUGAGAGCGGGAACACGCGCGCCGCGAGGAGAGCGAGUACCGCGGGAGCCGUCCCAGGCCUGGGAGCCUGAGGACCACCCGUCUCCAGCCGUCCGAUCCCGGGACCCAGCCAGCUCCAGAGUAGGGACGGGCCGUAGAGCCUCCGGGGCCUGAGGCCGGCCGAGCCUCCUGGGCUCUUCCUCGCGGGCGGUGGGAGGGGGUGGGGAAGGAGAGCGUGUUGGGCCCAGUGGCGCCUUGCCUGUGCCUGUGCCUCUCGGCCAGCUUCAUGCCGAAGGAGGCUUCGGCGGGCGCCCUUCUUGCUACCUGGUUAUGCGGCACCGAGUAGCCGGAAAAGAGGAGCUACCUGUGGAGGUUGAAAAACCCAGUUAGAGGGUUAGCUAAGAGGCCAAAGCCAGGCUGGGCACGCUUGCGAGCAGACCUUCCCGUGAGCCCUGGUCCGGUCGGAGUUUGCUUUCCCGGGGGAGGUCGUCGGCCGCCCCUGCAGCAAGGCCAACUGCACAGGCCGCCGGCUAUCCGUCAGCCCCUCGUGAGCAUGAGGUUGGUCCCGCGCCUUCACGCCGCCCGGGAUCACAAGGGGUUUCUGGGUCGAGGCUGCAGCAGCCGCGGCCGAGCUCCGGCACAUGCUGGGCUCGGGCUCCCAGGAUGCGCGGGAACACAACGCGCUUUCGCCUCCAGAACCUUCAGGACACGGACCUAUCGCGGUUUGCCUCGCCAGAGAGAGCCGGGUCAAUCCCUAUGCUCCCGGGUCAAAGGACAGCUUCCAAUUCAGGGUGUUUCCUAACGGAGCCCAAAGGUGUCCGUGACCGGGAAGACCGGGUUUACAAAUUUCUGCAGCCGAAGGCAAGACCCAGGCGCCACUCAACGGUGAGACCCCCUUGCUGAUGGCGCCCCUCUGGGGGAGCUUCACCCAGGCAGCGUGGGACUGACCCAGCCCUUGCGCUCCAAAAGAUUAUCUUCAGAAAAGACUAGGGCAGAGUCUGCAAAUCUAUUUUGAUUGGCUUUUCACUUAAAAAAAAAAAAAAAAAGCUACUUGCGAACUCUUAACCACUGGGAAAAUUCUAACGAAAAUAUUGAUUUUCAAUAGGCUCCCUUUCCUCCGCAGCUGUGCGCUGGCCGGAGCUGAGCAGCUCUGCUCUCUGUUUUCUGGGAUCUGUUUUAAAGAUGCUGGACCUUGGAUUGCCUUGAGGUUUGCAUUUAUAGCUGCAGAAGUUCGUUGUCUGGGGCUCUGGCAUCGGUCCAGAGUUAGCCAACAGUCGUAUUAAAGUGUGGUCCAAUAGCAUCAGCUCCUUCUGGAACUUGUUAGAAAUGCAGAUUCCCUGGCCCCACUUACUGAGUCAGACCCUCUAGGAGUGGGGACCGGCAAUGUUUUCGAACAAGCUCUUCAGGUGACUCUGAUGCACGCUGAAGUUUGAGAACUACUGACCUAGAUCAAAUUGACUUUUAGGGGGCAGUCGCGAUUUGGCUUUCUGGCUCUCUCCCUCCCUCCUAUCUUACUUUUCUCCCUCCUUCCCUUCCUUUUCCUUCUCACCAGAGACUGCCCUCGCAUAUAUCUGGCCUAGGACAGGUAAUUCAUUCAUUAGCUCAUUCAUCCCCUCACUCUCUCAGUCCUCUGACUUUUCUUUGGAGGCACCUCUCAAGUCCUUGGAAAGGUGCUGAGGAUUCCGAGGUGAACUAGGCUUGUCCCCUCCCUUCAAAAAGUCAUAUGAAGAAGAGCAAAGGAGAGAAAGCAGAAUGAAUGCCUUCACCUUUCUUAGGGUUUUGUUGUUGUUGUUCUUAUAAUCUAAUACUAGAUUUGAUCUGAUUUCAGGGAAUGUCCCUGUUGGGACAGAACAGGAGCACUGCACCCAUUUUUAAAGUUUUUGACCUUUUGGGACCCUCAACUCCCUUCUUUGCCCAGGUUGAUGUUAUUCUUUUCCUAUAUUCAUUCACAUCCUGGGGCUUCUGGGUGUCUGCUGCAUACACUUCCACAUACCUAGACAUAUGUUGCCCAUGCCUUACCUGCCCACCCUGCACUGGAUCAAAGUGCUUGGCUUCUGGAGUGUGGGAAUGCCACAAUUGGGAAAUGUGUUUGGACCUGGGCUCAAAGCCCUUGUAUUUCCCUGAAGCUGUAUAGGAAGGUCUUAGGACAGCUGGCACUGACACUCAUGUUUGCUCAAAGGACUUUGAUCUUGCAUCUUGCUGCCCCGAAAAGAUCAGGUUCCUGAAGUUAGGUGUCCCUGAACGUUGACACUGCAGAUGUGUCACCCUAAGAUUGGGUCAGAUCCCCUUGCAUUUCACUUGACAGUGCACAAUCUGUUGUUCCCCCUCACAGGGUAUCUAAAACUCCAAAUGAAACUCACACUUUCUAGUUUUCUUGUACCAAAUCAGACUCCCUUAAGCUUUCGCUUUGCUCUUUCUCUCUAGAACCUUCCUUGAACUUCAGUCCCCAGCCCAGCAAAGAGCCACCUCCCCUGAAAAUCUCCCACCAAGAGAUGUUCUGGUUGUAGGACUGAGAACUGUGGAAGGCACACUUUGCCUUCCGGGCAGUGGCAAGUCCCUCAAAAAUCAGGACUAACUGGAAGCUUCUUGUCUAUUUUCAGACUGAGAAGAAGGUUUUCAUUUUAGUGAGCCAGUGUAGGGAAGCCACUGAAAACGCACACAAAGAAAAAUGAAUUUUCCUAUUGCCCUAAACGUAAAUUGUCUAAAACUACUCAGCUCCACUUUGACAAAGAAUUGCUACUUUAAUAUGACCUUUUCUUAUGGGGAUUUUCAAAAUAUAAAAUGCAUAAUGGUCAGGAACAUGAUAAUCUCUUUACAACCUGCGAUCAUGUUUCUUAACAGGAUUUUGCUUUCCAGUGCAGAUGGUUUGACAUAGUAACAUUCAAAGCAGCCAGCACUUAGGAAAUGCCAAGGCCAGUAUUUGAAUGCAGAUACAAGUUUUAACAAAGGAAAAUGUAUAUCCCUGUAGCUGUUUGCCUGUGACUAUUCCCCAGAAGAUUAAUACAUUAUUCUUGAAUCUAAUCCAAGUCAGCAAACUCUCUAAAAAGUCUGUGAGGUGCCAACUCAUAAGGCACCCAGGAUUCCUUGUCACCAAAUAUUUUUGAGUGUCUACUAUGUACCAGGUACCAGACAAUUGUGUUAUUGUUUGCGGCCUUGAACUUUCAUCCUGACUUGGGGUGGGGGCAAGGGCGAGGAAGGUGGGAUUUUAAGGUUGGUUUCCUCUGUUUUUGUUAAAUUGUUAAAGUAUUUGUACUUAAUAGCAAUCUUU
rnacentral:lncRNA from 1 species